rnacentral:rRNA from 1 species
AUUGAACGCUGGCGGCAGGCCUAACACAUGCAAGUCGAACGAGUGGCGGACGGGUGAGUACUGUCUGGGAAACUGCCUGAUGGCGGGGGAUAACUACUGGAAACGGUAGCUAAUACCGCAUACUAUCAGAUGUGCCCAGAUGGGAUUAGCUAGUAGGUGGGGUAAUGGCUCACCUAGGCGACGAUCCCUAGCUGGUCUGAGAGGAUGAUCAGCCACACUGGAACUGAGACACGGUCCAGACUCCUACGGGAGGCAGCAGUGGGGAAUAUUGGACAAUGGGCGAAAGCCUGAUGCAGCCAUGCCGCGUGUAUGAAGAAGGCCCUAGGAUUGUAAAGUACUUUAAGUGGGGAGGCGUUACCGACAGAAGAAGCACCGGCUAACUUCGUGCCAGCAGCCGCGGUAAUAC